rnacentral:tmRNA from 1 species
CCCCUUUCUCUCUCGGGCCCGAGUGUUUAUAUUCAAAGUGUCGGGCAACCGACUAUGGCGAUAAACGGUGCGUGGAAUAAUCGUAGCGGACCCGGGGGCGGUACCCGGCGCCUCCACCAAAUCUCCCAAGUCUUUCAAGGGAGUAUUGAGGGGGCGAAACAGGAUCGACGCGCGUGGUAAAGACGUUCUUUUCGCUCGGCAUGGUACCGCCGAUAUCGGGCCAAGCAAUAGUUGCCAACGACAACUUUGCGGAGGCACGCCUCGCUGCGUAAGCAGCUGGUAGCCUGAACUAAGUCCAGACGAGUCGCAUCGGCUGGCGGGGUUUGGGGCGCACCUGGCAACAGAAGCGUCCCGCU